ACGGGGUGCAGCAGGCGCGAAAACUUCGCAAUGGGGGCAACCCCGACGAGGGAAUUCCAAGUGCCAGCACUUUGUGUUGGCUGUUCUCCUGUCUAAAAAACAGGAGGAGUAAGGGGCGGGUAAGACGGGUGCCAGCCGCCGCGGUAAUACCCGCGCCCCUAGUGGUGGUCGAUAUUAUUGAGCCUAAAACGUCCGUAGCCGGUCUUCUAAAUCCUUGGGUAAAUCGGGCAGCUUAACUGUCCGAAGUCCGGGGAGACUGGGAGACUUGGGACCGGGAGAGGUCAGAGGUACUUCUGGGGUAGGGGUAAAAUCCUGUAAUCCUGGAAGGACCACCGGUGGCGAAGGCGUCUGACUAGAACGGAUCCGACGGUGAGGGACGAAGCCCUGGGGCGCAAACGGGAUUAGAUACCCCGGUAGUCCAGGGUGUAAACGCUGCGGGCUUGGUGUUGGGGGUCCUUAGUGGGCGCCCAGUGCCGGAGAGAAGUUGUUAAGCCUGCUGCUUGGGGAGUAUGUCCGCAAGGAUGAAACUUAAAGGAAUUGGCGGGGGAGCAC
rnacentral:rRNA from 1 species